AGCUAAUAUCUUUUGCUAAUGACGGUACCUGAAGAAUAAGCACCGGCUAACUACGUGCCAGCAGCCGCGGUAAUACGUAGGGUGCAAGCGUUAAUCGGAAUUACUGGGCGUAAAGCGUGCGCAGGCGGUUUUGUAGUCUGAUGUGAAUCCCCGGGCUCACCUGGGAAUUGCAUUGGAGACUGCAAGGCUAGAAUCUGGAGAGGGGGGUAGAAUUCCACGUGUACAGUGAAAUGCGUAGAUAUGUGGAGGAACCCGAUGGCGAAGGCACCCCCUGGGUCAGAUUGACGCUCAUGCCGAAAGCGUGGGGAGCAACAGGAUUAGAUACCCUGGUAGUCCACGCCCUAACGAUGUCUACUAUUGUCGGGUCUUAUUGAUUGGUACGCAGCUACGCGUGAAUAGACCGCCUGGGGAUACGGUCGCAGAUUAAACUCAAGGAUUGACGGGACCGCACAGCGGGGAUGAUGUGAUUAUUCGUGCACGCGAAAACUUACUACCUUGACAUGCUGGAUCUUGAA
rnacentral:rRNA from 1 species